CUUUUCAGGAAGUGCCAAGAGGGGUUACAAAGAAAGGCCCAGCUGCUCUCUGGAAGCCUGUCCGAUCCCUUCAUGGAUUGCCUUUCUUCCGACUGAGGGUGCCCGGGGGUCUCCUAGCACUCCCACUGGCCCAGAUAGAAGUCACGUGCUUCUCAGGGAAAGCGUGCUCAGGCUGGCCACCGCGAGGAUGGCCCUAUUCUCAUGUCCCAUGGGCCUAGGUUAGAAGCAGCGAUGAGAGAAAAGAACUUGGGCAUCCAGGGUCUAUCUGCUGAUUUUAUGUCACUCCUCACAGUGACAAUGACCAGUACUUACAGAUCUCAGGGUAAACAAUCCUUUUUUUUGUUUGUUUGUUUUUUGAGACAGGGUUUCUCUGUAUAGCCCUGACUGCCUGGAACUCACUCUAGACCAGGCUUAAUUCCCAGAGAAUCCUUAAGGCCGUGAUCAGACACCACUGCAAUGUGCUGGCUGCUGGUCCUCACCAGCAAACUGCACUCCUUGUAUCCAUAGACAAUAAUGAAUUCAUGGCAGCCCCAAUAUUAACCAUGCCCACCUCCUGCUAUGGCUCUUGGCUGGCAUGGAGAAGGAGAUGUCUGUGGCACACCUGUGCCCACAUAUGUCCACUUCUAACUGACUGUGUGCCCAGCUUCAUGCAGAUAGCCCAGCCUAGCCUAGAGCCCUGUCUGCCUGCUUGGUCCUCCUUGCCUCUCACACUGUUCCUUGUGGGACCUGCCCCAAGAACCAUUGGCUCCAGCUCUGCUUCUUUUGUGUUCCAGGUCCCCAGUCCUUGGUUGGGAGAGGUGUGGCUCAGUGGUAGAGUGCUCGCCUGCCAUGUGUGUGGCUCUGGCUUUUAUGGGUGUGUGAAUGUGUACCAGGUUUUGUCCCUGCCGUAGUUCCUGUAGCUCCUACUGUUAGGCUCCAUUCAGCACCCGCGGCUUCUCCUAGCGCCCCUCCCCUCCCCCACCCC
rnacentral:lncRNA from 1 species